rnacentral:rRNA from 1 species
UAUGUGAUCGUCUCUCGCAUAUCAAUAAGCGGAGGAAAAGAAACUAACAAGGAUUCCCCUAGUAACGGCGAGUGAAGCGGGAAGAGCUCAAAUUUGAAAUCUUAAAGGGUUUCCCUUUACGUAUUGUAGUUUAAAGAAGUGUUUUCUGUUGAGGUUUUGGUAAAAGUUCUUUGGAAUAGGACAUCAUAGAGGGUGAGAAUCCCGUAUUUGACCUUUACUUUCAACUUUGUGAUACACUUUCAAAGAGUCGGAUUGUUUGGGAAUGCAGUCCAAAAUGGGUGGUAAAUUUCAUCUAAAGCUAAAUAUUGGCGAGAGACCGAUAGCGAACAAGUACCGUGAGGGAAAGAUGAAAAGAACUUUGAAAAGAGAGUUAAACAGUACGUGAAAUUGUCAAAAGGGGAAGCGUUUGACACCAGUGUUGUUUUUCUGAAAAUCAAUUAAAGAACUGUUUAUGCUAAGUUGUUUAGACUUUAUCAGCUAACUGUUUAGUUUUGAGCUUUUCUUUAAUGCACUUUUCAGUUAACAAGUCAACAUCAAUUUCUUUUGCUGUAAAAAAGCUUGAGGAAGGUGGCUUGAGAUUCGUCUUAAGUGUUUAUAGCCUCUUGCCUAUGCAGUCGGAGAGAUUGAGGUCUGCAGCGUAGAUCCUUCGGGGCUAAAUGCAUUUGUGCUAAGUUAUAGCAUUUUAUAGACAACUUGUUGACUAUGAUUUGUCUUGUAGCUUACUCGCUUAUGUUAUUUUACCUACGCUUAGGAUGUUGAGUAGCGACAUACGCAC